UCCGCAUGGAGACAGUUGUUAAAGUACAAGCGCCUGAAGAUGAGCCUGCGGUCCAUUAGCAGUUGGUAGAGUAACGGGCCUACCAAGGCAACGAUGGAUAGCUGGUCUGAGAGGAUGAUCAGCCACACUGGAACUGAGACACGGUCCAGACUCCUACGGGAGGCAGCAGUAAGGAUAUUGCUCAAUGGCCGAAAGGCUGAAGCAGCAACGCCGCGUGAAGGAUGAAUGGCCUUUGGCCUGUAAACUUCUGUAAAGAGGAAAAUAGUUAGGUAUAUCCUAAUGUGAUUGUACUCUUGAAGUAAGCCCCGGCUAACUACGUG
rnacentral:rRNA from 1 species